AGCGAACGCCGGCGGCAUGCUUAACACAUGCAAGUCGCACGGGGGCUUUCGGGCUUCAGUGGCGGACGGGUGAGUAUCGCGUAGGGAUUUAUCGUUGGAUGGGGGAUAACCUUGGGAAACUGGGGCUAAUACCGCAUGACGCCUGUGGGCCAAAGCAGUGAUGCGUCUGACGAGGAGCCUGCGUCCGAUUAGGUAGUUGGUUGGGUUACGGCUGACCAAGCCUGCGAUCGGUAGCUGGUCUGAGAGGAUGAUCAGCCACACUGGGACUGAGACACGGCCCAGACUCCUACGGGAGGCAGCAGUGGGGAAUAUUGGACAAUGGGCGCAAGCCUGAUCCAGCAAUGCCGCGUGGAUGAAGAAGGUCUUCGGAUUGUAAAGUCCUUUCGGCGGGGACGAUGAUGACGGUACCCGCAGAAGAAGCCCCGGCUAACUUCGUGCCAGCCGCCGCAGUAAAAC
rnacentral:rRNA from 1 species